rnacentral:rRNA from 1 species
AUUGAACGCUGGCGGCAGGCCUAACACAUGCAAGUCGAGCGGAUGAAGGGAGCUUGCUCCUGGAUUCAGCUGCGGACGGGUGGGUGAUUCCUAGGAAUCUGCCUGUCCGUUGGGGAUAACGUCCGGAAACGGGCGCUAAUACCGCAUACGUCCUGAGGGCGAACGUGGGGGAUCUUCGGACCUCACGCUAUCUGAUGAGCCUAGGUCGGAUUAGCUAGUUGGUUGGGUAAAGGCCUACCAAGGCGACGAUCCGUAGCUGGUCUGAGAGGAUGAUCAGUCACACUGGAACUGAGACACGGUCCAGACUCCUACGGGAGGCAGCAGUGGGGAAUAUUGGACAAUGGGCGAAAGCCUGAUCCAGCCAUGCCGCGUGUGUGAAGAAGGUCUUCGGAUUGUAAAGCACUUUAAGUGGGGAGGAAGAGCAGUAAGUUAAUACCUGGCUGUUUUGACGGUACCAACAGAAUAAGCACCGGCUAACUUCGUG